rnacentral:lncRNA from 1 species
UGGCCGUCGGGGGCGGUGCCGGGACCAAGCGUUCCGUCGCCUUGGUGGUCGCCCGGUUGCAGACCUCUGUCUGCUUCCAGGGCUGUGGGGCUCCAGAGGCUCAUCCCUGGAGGGCGGGAAGUCCUGGAGCAGUGCGGGCGUGACCGCGGGCUUUGCCCACAGAAACGCUUUCCAAGGGCUCCGGACGCAGACUAGGGGGCGUCUGGAGCCUGGUGUGGUGUCUCGUGCAGCCCGUCCCGUGGGAAUGGAUGCAACUUCGGGCGCAGGCGACUGGUGGGAAGUUGGAAUCGUGGAUUCGUGAGCACGCACUACGGGCGGCUAGGGUCAGAAGAGGGCACCAUAUCUCAUUACAGAUGGUUGUGAGCCACCAUGUGGUUACUGGGAAUUGAACUCAGGACCUCUGGAAGAACAGCCAGUGCUCUUAACCUCUGAGCCAUCUC